UGACUGAACGGGGACCGGACUGAAAGUCUCAAAACAUUCAGCAUUUUGCUGUUGUAAGGAGGAAGCAACUGCAAAUUGCACUGAGGAAGUUUACGCCCACAUCGUUGAUGUUUUGAGUGUUUCGUUUUCCGCGCAACAAAGAGCGAGCUACCUUGUUGUUUGGCAAAAGCAACAAAGCCCGAACUUCAGCUCAGCAUCUGCGGAAACCACCAAGAUAACGAAAAACAAGAAGGAAGUGAAGUCAGCCAUGCUGCCCAAGACACAUAUGCUCUGCUUCUGCAACCCAGGAAGGAACUCAGCCUUGCCUAGGCUGAAAAGAACACGAAACUAAUGAAGCCCUGACUCGGUUUAAGCCAUGAAAGCAUUUCGACCUGCACUUCACUGUCACCAGGUCCUUGUUUUAUCAGGGUGGUUAGGGCUGUUUUGACUGUGUGUUAAGCAGUGCCCGCUGGUUCCCGGUCUCAGAACUGGCUGUAUAAUUAACCGACUUCAUCAUCUUCACUUCCACUUUCUUCUCCACUAACUCCAACGUUGAGACAUAACUUGAUUCCUCUACGAAUUACAGACUGAAGAAUCUCUACAUCAGCCCGUGACCUAUAUGCCCUUCAAAAUAUUUCUCCUUUUCAGACCAAAGCAAUGUACGUGUUUCAUACAGAAAUUUAUGCCUUUGGCUAGACGUGCUGCCUCCCGAAAAUAAAUGAAACCGAACAAUAAUCCAACUA